CAAGAUCGCUCAUAUUCCCACCAUACGAAUCAAUGGAGAAUACUAUGAUCCAUGAGAUGGUGCAUUAUAUUGCUUCAAAAGAUUCUGAAGCUUUUGGCAGAGUUGAAACUCCAACUGGGAGUUGAUUCAUCAUGAGAAGUUCAUUGACUUGAUCUACAAUUGCAUAAGCAGAAACUUAUUGGCUUUCAAUAAGCAGAGCAAUGGCCAGAUGUUUC